AUUGAACGCUGGCGGCAGGCCUAACACAUGCAAGUCGAACGAGUGGCGGACGGGUGAGUAAUGUCUGGGAAACUGCCUGAUGGAGGGGGAUAACUACUGGAAACGGUAGCUAAUACCGCAUACCAUCGGAUGUGCCCAGAUGGGAUUGGCUAGUAGGUGGGGUAAAGGCUAACCUAGGCGACGAUCCCUAGCUGGUCUGAGAGGAUGACCAGCAACACUGGAACUAAGACAGGGGCCAGACUCCGAGGGGAGGCAGCAGUGGGGAAUAUUGCACAAUGGGCGCAAGCCUAAUGCAGACAUGCCGCGUGUAGGAAGAAGGCCUUCGGGUUGUAAAGUACUUUCAGCGGGGAGGCGUUAACCGAAGAAGAAGCACCGGCUAACUCCGUGCCAGCAGCCGCGGUAAUAC
rnacentral:rRNA from 1 species